rnacentral:lncRNA from 1 species
GCAAGAAGAGUUUAAGACUAUAUAUAGGAUUGAAGUUCUUCAUUCCAAGAUGCACCCGUCAAAAACAUUUUAAAUUUUUAUGUGUGUUUCUUUGUUCUCUUAUACUCUUGUAUUAGAGUGUUGUGAGAUGUAUUUGAGUUAGUUGAGAGUAUAUUAUAUGUUGUAAUAAUUUUCACAUAGUGUUAUUCUUUGAUUGUCUAUUGUCAACUGUCGUGGUUUCCACGUUAUGUUCUUUUGGUUCGACUCAGGGAUAAGUGUUCUUAGUCUGCUCUGUAGUUGCAGUAGAAAAUUGAUGGAAGAUUUUUUUUUACUUAUGAAAAGUUCAAAACAAAGAUGUAUUAAUACAAUCAAAAUUACACAAGAUGCAAGAUUAUGUCGGUGGUUGAAGAGCUUCUUGCCAACAAGAAAGUUUCACUAUAAUGUUUCAACCUGGUUUUGGACAUGUGAAAAUUCUUGAAGUGAUUUACCUUCAAGUGAAGUAUACUCUUCUUUAGGUGGAGUAUGAUAGCUUUUUAAAACUAUCGGUGAAGACAAUGUGAAAUUCUUGGAGUGAUUUAACUUCAAGUGAACUUUAUUCUUCAUGAAAAAGUAUAUGAUUGUCGGUGAUGACAAUGUGAAACUCUUGAAGUGGUUUAUCUUCAAGUGAAAUAUAUUCUUAUAUUCUUCAUGAGAGAGUAUGAUAGUUUUAACACUAUGAUUGUCAGUGAAGAUAAUGUGAAAACUCUUGGAGUGGUGUAACUUCAAGUGAUUAUACUCUUUAUGGUGGAAUAUGAUUGUCGGUGAAGACAAUGAAAUUUUAUGUAAUCAUUAGUGUCGAAAGAGAAAUUUAAGAGAAAUUUACACCAAUUUUUUAUACAUUUAACAUCCGUUAUUAGAGGGUAUGAAUUCAAAGGGUGAGAAAUGUCUGAUGAAUUUACACAUGUUUUAAAACGGGUGCAAAUAGAUAUAUU